GGGCCCGCACAAGCGGUGGAGCAUGUGGUUUAAUUCGAUGAUACGCGAGGAACCUUACCAGGGCUUAAAUGCAGAACGACCGGGGUGGAAACACCCCUUUCUUCGGACGGUCUGCAAGGUGCUGCAUGGUUGUCGUCAGCUCGUGCUGUGAAGUGUCGGGUUAAGUCCCAUAAUGAGCGCAACCCCUAUUUCUAGUUGCCAGCGGUUCGGCCGGGGACUCUAGAGAAACUGCCAGCGUAAGCUGUGAGGAAGGUGGGGAUGACGUCAAAUCAUCACGGCCCUUACGUCCUGGGCCACACACGUGCUACAAUGGUGGGGACAACGAGUCGCUAACCCGCGAGGGUAAGCUAAUCUUCAAACCCCAUCUCAGUUCGGAUCGGAGUCUGCAACUCGACUCCGUGAAGUUGGAAUCGCUAGUAAUCG
rnacentral:rRNA from 1 species